rnacentral:lncRNA from 1 species
UGUUUUCUUGACCCAGACUUCUUUUUCACUGCAUUAUCCAUUUUGAACCCACAAGCUUCACAUGAUCAUCAAGAAAUCACUGAUGUUGCCACCUACAAAUAAAUAACGUUUACCCAGUCAUAAUCUGCACAUCCUUCGGUAUUAGGACAAAAUGGCCAGUCGGCAGAAAUGUGACCACUUGGCACAAUUAGCAAUGACAGAGACUAAAUUACAGCCAAUAGUCAUUUAUGUGGACUCAUAAUAGUCAUGUAUUAUAAUCAUAAGAUAUUACUGUGACACAUUUAUAAUACACCCUAAAGACAUGGUAGCUCCAAUGAGAAAACAAAAGACAGAUAGCGUCACGUGCACAUUCCCCUUAUUAGAAAUAAAUAAAAAAUAUAGAAACAUGUGAUGAAAAUUUAUUUUUAUUUCUCAAGAAAUUAGCUGUAACCAAUUCAAGAGUUACAUGGUAACUAUCAAGCGAGAAAAAAGAGAAGAUGAUAUAUCAACAUGAUUAUUAAUGGAAGAUCAAAAGACAAUCUGAUGUAUCAGCUGUACUUUACAAACAUGUAUUUAUAUGACAAACAUUGACACCAUUCUUAAUGAGGUUCUCAUAGCAGGAUUCAUAAUAGUCAUAUGUUGAGAAGAAACAAACACAUCUCAUUUAUCUGCACUUAGCUUUAUUAUUUUGGAAGGAAGUGCACUCCGCACGAUAUAAGAAGAGCAAAGGUAUCACCGUAUCGGCAAAAACAUGUGUUACAAGAUGGCACCAACCCACUGGAAAGAAAUAUUUUAUUUUAAAGCAGAGAAAAUCAUAGCAAAUGCAAAUCUUUUCAUUUAUCUCCCGAAAGCUUUGUAGCAUGAGAAACUUCAUACUCCGAUGUGGCGUUGGUUAAACAGACAAUAUAUAUGUAUAUAUUACAUGCUAAGUAGGUAGCAAUAUUACAGAGAUCAUGAUACUAUUAAAUAUGAAAUGUAAGAAAAAUGAAAUGCAUAGCAAAUUUUCUGACGAAAACAAGGUGCUUUUUGCAAAAACAGUACAAACUCGGAUGGUUGCAGAUGAACUACGGAUUUCGGUCUUUUGAAGUGGCAAGCAACUCAAGAUUCAAUGGGAACAUGCCCAAUCUCUUCAGUAUGGUACUUCAAACAUUUCCUAUCAAAAUCAUAGUUAAAUAUUUCUUCCUUGUAUACGUGGGAGAUAAAACUAGGCAAUCUGAAGAAAAUAGUCAGAAGGAAAGAUGAAAGCCAAGCACAUAAGUGUAAAGAAAAUAUACAACCAAACUAAAAGUGGAACCUAGUUAUUUUGUGCCCUACAUCCAGAAUAAUGAUGUUGUGGUAGAGAGAGAAAAUUAAUAGCCAUUCUAAAAUGAACUAACUAACUAUCACUGAAAUAUAUUUUAGGCUCUAACAGAGAUAAAGGCUGAAGAAAACAGAACCAAUAGCUAACUAUGUGUGCACCUGUAACACAAAAUAGUCUACCUUUUACAACACAAGUGACCAGAGGGCACAACUGUACACCUUACUUUCAAGAACACUAACUGAAGAGGUCAAGCAAGUAUAUUUGUCUUUUUAGAAAAGUGUCUCCAUUAUCAUCUCUCAUCCGCACCAUUUUCUAUCAUUUGGCUUCGAACUCUACUAUCAGCCUUACUCAAAACCCUGAUAUCUAACUUGCUCAAUCCAGAGUCUUGCAAUGUAAAGUUUAUUACAGAGUUUAUCCUUACGUUGAACAGGAAAGUACCAAAAUUAAUAGUAUGAUGUACAAAAAAAUUAUAUUGGUACAGUAACGGCAAGAUAAUCUAAAAAUGAAAAACAAGACAAAGAAUUAGUGCCACAAAAUAAUGAGAGAUACAAUCAUUUUCUACUAAAAGGUACCACAAUAAAAAACGAGAGGUGCAAUCGCUUUCUGCUACAAAAUGCUAUUACAAAACAGAACAGAAAAGAAAAGGUAUAUAGAUUAUUAUAAAUAAAAAACAAAAGUUUAAGUUUCAUAUGGAUGAUAAGCACGAAACUCUCAGGCAAUGCCCAACUUCCUCAUGAUCAGCGAGCCAACAAGUUAUGCAAAAUAGUAAGGAAUCAAACUCCUCUCAACUUACAAUGCCUAAAAAUGUCGAUCAAGUAUCUUUGUUCUUUCUAGUUCAGAAAAAAUUACUAUCCAACAAAGCUAGAAGUAAAGGGCCCAGAAAUGCAAUUUAGUGCUCCUACAUGAUAGGUGAUAUAAAUCCAGACAGUGUUGAGUUUCAAGAACUGUACUCAUAAACUGAAUCUAAAGUUCUUGGCACUUGAGUUGUUGAACUACCUUUAAAAACUAAUGGUGAGGAGACCAGAGGCAGCAGCCACUAUACAAGGCAUUGCCUACUUCACUCCUGUUUAUCGGAUCAGUGUGUGCUCCUAUACCAAUAUGAGGAAGAGGCAGCAUGGCAGUAGCCUGUUUAACAACUGAUUAGUGUAAUCACAUUUGUAUCAUAAGCUGCAGUUAAAGCAUUACCAAAUAUCAUUCAUACAUAGCUGGAAUUUCAUUCAUAGGAAACUGAUUUGAACUACAUGAGCCAAAAUCAAAAUAAUAAUCGCACCUCUCCUUGUAGUACCAAUCGUUAACCUGCGCCAUUACCAGUGCUUUAACCAUGAUAAAUCAAAUCUACCAAAAGCCCAAAAUCAAAAUAAUAGUUGCACCUCUCCUUGUAGUACCAAUCGUUAACCUGCGCCAUUACCAGUGCUUUAACCAUGAUAAAUCAAAUCUAUCAUAAGCUAUACAGAAAAAAUACAGUCUAUAGAGGGAUAAUAAUCUUGCACUUACCUCAACCAAUCACAUGUCCAAACGCUAGCCAGAUUGAUAUGAUCGUUGAGAAGAAACAUAUUAAUGGAGAAAGCCACAGGAAAAU